UUAAGCGACUAAGCGUACACGGUGGAUGCCCUGGCAGUCAGAGGCGAUGAAGGACGUGCUAAUCUGCGAUAAGCGUCGGUGAGGUGAUAUGAACCGUUAUAACCGGCGAUUUCCGAAUGGGGAAACCCAGUGUGUUUCGACACACUAUCAUUAACUGAAUCCAUAGGUUAAUGAGGCGAACCGGGGGAACUGAAACAUCUAAGUACCCCGAGGAAAAGAAAUCAACCGAGAUUCCCCCAGUAGCGGCGAGCGAACGGGGAGGAGCCCAGAGCCUGAAUCAGUGUGUGUGUUAGUGGAAGCGUCUGGAAAGGCGCGCGAUACAGGGUGACAGCCCCGUACACAAAAAUGCACAUGCUGUGAGCUCGAUGAGUAGGGCGGGACACGUGGUAUCCUGUCUGAAUAUGGGGGGACCAUCCUCCAAGGCUAAAUACUCCUGACUGACCGAUAGUGAACCAGUACCGUGAGGGAAAGGCGAAAAGAACCCCGGCGAGGGGAGUGAAAAAGAACCUGAAACCGUGUACGUACAAGCAGUGGGAGCCUCUUAAUGGGGUGACUGCGUACCUUUUGUAUAAUGGGUCAGCGACUUAUAUUCUGUAGCAAGGUUAACCGAAUAGGGGAGCCGAAGGGAAACCGAGUCUUAACUGGGCGUUAAGUUGCAGGGUAUAGACCCGAAACCCGGUGAUCUAGCCAUGGGCAGGUUGAAGGUUGGGUAACACUAACUGGAGGACCGAACCGACUAAUGUUGAAAAAUUAGCGGAUGACUUGUGGCUGGGGGUGAAAGGCCAAUCAAACCGGGAGAUAGCUGGUUCUCCCCGAAAGCUAUUUAGGUAGCGCCUCGUGAAUUCAUCUCCGGGGGUAGAGCACUGUUUCGGCAAGGGGGUCAUCCCGACUUACCAACCCGAUGCAAACUGCGAAUACCGGAGAAUGUUAUCACGGGAGACACACGGCGGGUGCUAACGUCCGUCGUGAAGAGGGAAACAACCCAGACCGCCAGCUAAGGUCCCAAAGUCAUGGUUAAGUGGGAAACGAUGUGGGAAGGCCCAGACAGCCAGGAUGUUGGCUUAGAAGCAGCCAUCAUUUAAAGAAAGCGUAAUAGCUCACUGGUCGAGUCGGCCUGCGCGGAAGAUGUAACGGGGCUAAACCAUGCACCGAAGCUGCGGCAGCGACACUAUGUGUUGUUGGGUAGGGGAGCGUUCUGUAAGCCUGUGAAGGUGUGCUGUGAGGCAUGCUGGAGGUAUCAGAAGUGCGAAUGCUGACAUAAGUAACGAUAAAGCGGGUGAAAAGCCCGCUCGCCGGAAGACCAAGGGUUCCUGUCCAACGUUAAUCGGGGCAGGGUGAGUCGACCCCUAAGGCGAGGCCGAAAGGCGUAGUCGAUGGGAAACAGGUUAAUAUUCCUGUACUUGGUGUUACUGCGAAGGGGGGACGGAGAAGGCUAUGUUGGCCGGGCGACGGUUGUCCCGGUUUAAGCGUGUAGGCUGGUUUUCCAGGCAAAUCCGGAAAACCAAGGCUGAGGCGUGAUGACGAGGCACUACGGUGCUGAAGCGACAAAUGCCCUGCUUCCAGGAAAAGCCUCUAAGCAUCAGGUAACAUCAAAUCGUACCCCAAACCGACACAGGUGGUCAGGUAGAGAAUACCAAGGCGCUUGAGAGAACUCGGGUGAAGGAACUAGGCAAAAUGGUGCCGUAACUUCGGGAGAAGGCACGCUGAUAUGUAGGUGAAGCGACUUGCUCGUGGAGCUGAAAUCAGUCGAAGAUACCAGCUGGCUGCAACUGUUUAUUAAAAACACAGCACUGUGCAAACACGAAAGUGGACGUAUACGGUGUGACGCCUGCCCGGUGCCGGAAGGUUAAUUGAUGGGGUUAGCGGUAACGCGAAGCUCUUGAUCGAAGCCCCGGUAAACGGCGGCCGUAACUAUAACGGUCCUAAGGUAGCGAAAUUCCUUGUCGGGUAAGUUCCGACCUGCACGAAUGGCGUAAUGAUGGCCAGGCUGUCUCCACCCGAGACUCAGUGAAAUUGAACUCGCUGUGAAGAUGCAGUGUACCCGCGGCAAGACGGAAAGACCCCGUGAACCUUUACUAUAGCUUGACACUGAACAUUGAGCCUUGAUGUGUAGGAUAGGUGGGAGGCUUUGAAGUGUGGACGCCAGUCUGCAUGGAGCCGACCUUGAAAUACCACCCUUUAAUGUUUGAUGUUCUAACGUUGGCCCGUAAUCCGGGUUGCGGACAGUGUCUGGUGGGUAGUUUGACUGGGGCGGUCUCCUCCUAAAGAGUAACGGAGGAGCACGAAGGUUGGCUAAUCCUGGUCGGACAUCAGGAGGUUAGUGCAAUGGCAUAAGCCAGCUUGACUGCGAGCGUGACGGCGCGAGCAGGUGCGAAAGCAGGUCAUAGUGAUCCGGUGGUUCUGAAUGGAAGGGCCAUCGCUCAACGGAUAAAAGGUACUCCGGGGAUAACAGGCUGAUACCGCCCAAGAGUUCAUAUCGACGGCGGUGUUUGGCACCUCGAUGUCGGCUCAUCACAUCCUGGGGCUGAAGUAGGUCCCAAGGGUAUGGCUGUUCGCCAUUUAAAGUGGUACGCGAGCUGGGUUUAGAACGUCGUGAGACAGUUCGGUCCCUAUCUGCCGUGGGCGCUGGAGAACUGAGGGGGGCUGCUCCUAGUACGAGAGGACCGGAGUGGACGCAUCACUGGUGUUCGGGUUGUCAUGCCAAUGGCACUGCCCGGUAGCUAAAUGCGGAAGAGAUAAGUGCUGAAAGCAUCUAAGCACGAAACUUGCCCCGAGAUGAGUUCUCCCUGAGACUUAGAGUCUCCUGAAGGAACGUUGAAGACGACGACGUUGAUAGGCCGGGUGUGUAAGCGCAGCGAUGCGUUGAGCUAACCGGUACUAAUGAACCGUGAGGCUUAACCUU
rnacentral:rRNA from 1 species